GUUAUACCUGCCCGUCAACUGAAAUCCCAAAAUUACGUCAUUGUAAACAAAGAAUUGGUUGUUUUAUUAACUGAAAAAAAACGCAGCGUUUUCGAAUUGCGUUCGGUGUUCGCCUUAUAACGCGUGUUACCACGCGCUGCACCGGAAUCGCAGGCCGCAGAUUGGAUUCCUGCCUGAGGGCAUGUAGUUGCAUUUUUUGCAACUGCUCCUGUUCAGGUCUAAAAAUAUGUAAAGUUGACACCAAAAAACUGCGGACCGGAUUGACAGGGAUUCAACUACCUGAAAAAUACAAAACUUUUCGAGCGAAGGCCCGGUCUUCGUUGGGAUGGUUGGCAAGGAUCAGAAACUAAGUACGUGAGCUUUUGUAAUAGUGAAUAUAAAAGCGAUCAUGUGACAAAAAAGUGUAAACAAAAGAGGUAAAUCACAUUACAGAAUAUAUUACUAAUUCAGGAAUAAGAUGAGAAUUCAUUAUGAGGAAUAUAAUGAAAAAUAAGGAAUAAGAUAAGAAUUCAUUAUGAGGAACAUAAUGAAAAAUAGGGAAUAAGGUAUCCCACGGGGCCGGAUGAAUCCAAAACCGUACUCAAAUUCCGGUUUCACCUUGCGUUCACACUGGGCGUUCAAGAAUAUUUUGCGCGGUAGAGGAUUGGGAUUGAAACUGACUGAUGCCAUCUGCGCAUGCAUACGUAAAUAGUUCCGGAACCACAAUUCAUACAUUCAAUUGAUGAUUCUCCUUAUUACGUUUUCGUAGCGCUUUGCAUUGUGGUUGUAGUACUUGUAGUGGUAUCACUGACUGAUAUUCAAGAUGGCUUAUUUUUUGUCCUGACCCAUGCAAGAACGUUUAAAAAAAGCUAGGGUCAGGUGCGCGAUAGCCAACAGCAAAAUAUUCGCCAAAACAUUCAAUAUUUUUAAUCGAGGCCGCUCUCUUUAUCAGUGAUACUACAAUAACCACAAUGGAAAGCGCUACGAAAACGUAAUAAGGGGGGAAUCUAGUAUUCAUCCGCUUCCGUGUGAACACUUUUCGUUUCGUAAUUAAUCCGGUUCCGUGUUAAUGUAGACUUAAAGUUAGGCAAUAUUUCCAUCUUGAUUUCUAUCUAUUUAUUUCAUUGCAAGCAGUAUAGUUUAAGUCUGAGAAUAAUACUAUGGUUGUUUUAUAUGCAGGUUUUUACUGUAUUCUUUGUCUAUCCGUGGAUUCCUAGACCUAGUACAUUUCAUCGUAUAACUUAUAUGUACAUACAUUGCGAGGAUGAAACGGACGGUUUUCUCCUUAUAUUUCAAUUCCCCCUCACUCAUUGUUGUUUUAUGUGACUAUAAUAGCUGGAAAUCUGGCACAGCAAUUAACACUGUGAAACAACAUUGACUGGGGGGGGGAAUUGACAUGCUUAAUAAAACAAAAAUAAAUUCAGGGGAAAACUAGUGCAAACAUUCAGUCGUUUUACAAGAUUUUGGCGAGG